rnacentral:rRNA from 1 species
UACGGGGGGGGCAAGCGUUGUUCGGAAUUACUGGGCGUAAAGGGCUCGUAGGUGGCCAACUAAGUCAGACGUGAAAUCCCUCAGCUUAACUGGGGAACUGCGUCUGAUACUGGAUGGCUUGAGUUUGGGAGAGGGAUGCGGAAUUCCAGGUGUAGCGGUGAAAUGCGUAGAUAUCGGGAGGAACACCUGUGGCGAAGGCGGCCCCCUGGUUGGAUACUGACGCUGAGACGCGAAAGCGUGGGGAGCAAACAGG